rnacentral:rRNA from 1 species
GUGGGGAAUCUUGCGCAAUGGGCGAAAGCCUGACGCAGCCAUGCCGCGUGAAUGAUGAAGGUCUUAGGAUUGUAAAAUUCUUUCACCGGGGACGAUAAUGACGGUACCCGGAGAAGAAGCUCCGGCUAACUUCGUGCCAGCAGCCGCGGUAAUACGAAGGGGGCUAGCGUUGCUCGGAAUUACUGGGCGUAAAGGGCGCGUAGGCGGACAGCUUAGUCAGAGGUGAAAGCCCAGGGCUCAACCUUGGAAUUGCCGUUGAUACUGGCUGUCUUGAGUUUGGGAGAGGUGAGUGGAACUCCGCGUGUAGAGGUGAAAUUCGUAGAUAUUCGGAAGAACACCAGUGGCGAAGGCGACUCACUGGCCCAAUACUGACGCUGAGGCGCGAAAGCGUGGGGAGCAAACAGGAUUAGAAGCCCGGGUAGUCC